rnacentral:lncRNA from 1 species
GCACGGCUCUGCCCGGGCUGGGCACGGCUUGGUACGGCUUGGCACAGCUCGGCAUGGUUUGGCACGGCUCUGCCGGGGCUGAGCAUGGCUUGUUACGGCUUGGCACAGCUCGGCACGGCUUGGCACAUCUCUGCCCGGGCUGGGCACGGCUUGGCACAGCUCGGCAUGGUUUGGCACGGCUCUGCCGGGGCUAGGCAAUGCUUGGCACUGCUUGGCACGGCUUGGCACGGUUUGGCAUGGCCCUGCCUGUGCUGGGCACGGUUUGGCACGGCUUGGCACAGCUCGGCACGGUUUGGCACAGCUCUGCCGGGCUGGGCACGGCUCUGCCCGGGCUGGGCACGGCAUGGCACGGCUUGGCACAGCUCGGCACGGUUUGGCACGGCUGUGCCCGGGCUGGGCGCCGUUUGGCACGGUUUGGCAGAGCUCUGCCCGGGCUGGGCACGCCUCGGCAUGGCUUGUCAGGGCUUGGCACGGCUCGGCACGGUUUGGCACGGCUCUGCCAUGCUGGGCACGGCUCGGCAUUCCUCGGCACUGUUUGGCACGGCUCUGCCGGGCUGGGCACAGCUCUGCCCGGGCUGCGCACGGCUUGGCACGGCUCGGCACGGUUUGGCACUGCUCUGCCGGGCUGGCCACGGCUCGGCAUUCCUCGGCACGGUUUGGCACGGCUCUGCCCGGGCUUGGCACGGCUUGGCACGGUUUGGUACUGCUCUGCCCGGGCUGGGCACGCCUCGGCAUGGCUUGGCACGGCUCGGCACGGUUUGGCACGGCUCUGCCCGGGCUGGGCAAGGCUUGGCACUGCUUGGCACAGCUCGGCACGGUUUGGCACGGCUCUGCCGGGGCUGGGCAAGGCUUGGUACGGCUUGGCACAGCUCGGCACGGCUUGGCACGGCUCUGCCCGGGCUGGGCACGGCUUGGCACGGCUCUGCCCGGGCUGGGCACGGCUUGGCACGGCUUGGCACAGCUCGGCACGGCUCUGCCGGGCUUGGCACGGCUUGGCACGGUUUGGUACUGCGCUGCCCGGGCUGGGCACGCCUCGGCAUUGCUUGGCACGGCUUGGCACGGCUCUGCACGGUUUGGCACGGCUCUGCCCGGGCUGGGCACGGUUUGGCACGGUUUAGCACACCUCGGCACGGUUUCGCACGGCUCUUCCCGGGCUGGGCACGGCUUGGCACGGCUCUGCGCGGCCGGACACUGCUUCGCACAGCUUGGCACAGCUCGGCACUGU